UAGGGAAUCUUCGGCAAUGGACGAAAGUCUGACCGAGCAACGCCGCGUGAGUGAAGAAGGUUUUCGGAUCGUAAAACUCUGUUGUUAGAGAAGAACAAGGACGUUAGUAACUGAACGUCCCCUGACGGUAUCUAACCAGAAAGCCACGGCUAACUACGUGCCAGCAGCCGCGGUAAUACGUAGGUGGCAAGCGUUGUCCGGAUUUAUUGGGCGUAAAGCGAGCGCAGACGGUUUCUUAAGUCUGAUGUGAAAGCCCCCGGCUCAACCGGGGAGGGUCAUUGGAAACUGGGAGACUUGAGUGCAGAAGAGGAGAGUGGAAUUCCAUGUGUAGCGGUGAAAUGCGUUGAUCUAUGGAGGAACACCAGUGGCGAAGGCGGCUCUCUAGUCUGUAACUGACGCUGAGGCUCGAAAGCGUGGGGAGCAAACAGG
rnacentral:rRNA from 1 species